GGAUGUGAGGGCAAUCUGGCUGUGACAUCUGUCACCCUAUUGAUCACCAGGGCUGAUUCAGCUUAUCUGGCUGGCUAGGCAGGUGGCCCCUUCCUCCCUCAACACUCCAUGUGUGUCUCUCCCAAAGCUACAUGAUCGGUCUAAGAGGCCGACCACCCCCAGUAGAGGAAGACCAUUUCUUGGUCAAUGGUAUAGGAAGAAAUGUACUCCCCUGCUAGAACCUCCAAAGAAGCUCUAUAGAUGACACAACUCUAAACUUGGGGCUGAUGCCAUCAUUGGGCGAGAGUUUGGUGGGCCUUGGGAGGAGUGAAUAUACUUUGCAUGUGGAAAGGACACAAGUCAUG
rnacentral:snRNA from 1 species